ACAGCCCCGGGAGAAAGGCUGCGAGGAGCACGCAGAGGAUGGAGGAUGGAGCGGUCCUCAUUCCCCUUCUGCCCUUCUGCGAUGUUUUCCUCUCUUCUACUCCAUUCUUCCCCACCACUCCUGCAGAACCCCAGAAGGCUGCAGAGGACGAGACCAGGAAGGGCGGCCGGGAUCAGGGCUGGGACCGCCGCCAGGCUUGAGGCAGCGCACGGUACUGGUGGGUGGGUAAGGGGCUGCCAGCCCAGUGGGGCCGCGACAUCUGGCAGCCUCCAGCACCACCUGCUCCUCGGCUGCUGUGCCCCCGGCCGUGCUCUCCUAUAAACGGAUAGGACCUGGAACUGCUUCCAAGUUCUCCGUCCAGAUGCAAGUCCUGGCUGCCUCCCAGCUCUGUGGCAGUGAAUAAAUGACAACACAAAGAGAACUGGCCGCUCUAUAAGCUAAUGCCAUAGAAGAAACCCUCUGCACUG